AGGAGGGUUCUGUAUGUAGGCUGAGGGUAGGAGGGUUCUGUAUGUAGGCUGAGGGUAGGAGGGUUCUGUAUGUAGGCUGAGGGUAUCAGGGUUCUGUAGGCUGAGGGUAGGAGGGUUCUGUAUGUAGGCUGAGGGUAGGAGGAUUCUGUAGGCUGAGCGUAGGAGGGUUCUGUAUGUAGGCUGAGGGUAGUAGGAUUCUGUAGGCUGAGGGUAGGAGGGUUCUGUAGGCUGAGGGUAGGAGGAUUCUGUAGGCUGAGGGUAGGAGGGUACUGUAUGUAGGCUGAGGGUAGGAGGGUUCUGUAUGUAGGCUGAGGGUAGUAGGAUUCUGUAGGCUGAGGGUAGGAGGGUUCUGUAUGUAGGCUGAGGGUAGGAGGGUGCUGUAGACUGAGGGUAGAAGGAUUCUGUAGGCUGAGGGUAGGAGGGUACUGUAGGCUGAGGGUAGGAGGAUUCUGUAUGUAGGCUGAGGGUAGGAGGGUUCUGUAGGCUGAGGGUAGGAGGAUUCUGUAGGCUGAGGGUAGGAGGGUUCAGUAUGUAGGCUGAGGGUAGAAGGGUUAUGUAGGCUGAGGGUAUCAGGGUUCUGUAGGCUGAGGGUAGGAGGGUUCUGUAUGUAGGCUGAGGGUAGAAGGGUUCUGUAGGCUGAGGGUAGUAGGAUUAUGUAGGCUGAGGGUAGGAGGGUUCUGUAUGUAGGCUGAGGGUAGGAGGGUUCUGUAUGUAGGCUGAGGGUAGGAGGGUUCUGUAUGUAGGCUGAGGGUAGGAGGGUUCUGUAUGUAGGCUGAGGGUAGGAGGGUUCUGUAUGUAGGUUGAGGGUAGGAGGGUUCUGUAUGUAGGCUGAGGGUAGGAGGGUUCUGUAUGUAGGCUGAGGGUAGAAGGGUUCUGUAGGCUGAGGGUAGGAGGGUUCUGUAUGUAGGCUGAGGGUAGGAUGGUUCUGUAUGUAGGUUGAGGGUAGGAGGGUUCUGUAUGUAGGCUGAGGGUAGGAGGGUUCUGUAUGUAGGCUGAGGGGAGAAGGGUUCUGUAUGUAGGCAGAGGGGAGAAGGGUUCUGUAUGUAGGCUGAGGGCAGAAGGGUUCUGUAUGUAGGUUGAGGGUAGGAGGGUUCUGUAUGUAGGCUGAGGGUAGGAGGGUUCUGUAUGUAGGCUGAGGGUAGGAUGGUUCUGUAUGUAGGUUGAGGGUAGGAGGGUUCUGUAUGUAGGCUGAGGGUAGGAGGGUUCUGUAUGUAGGCUGAGGGGAGAAGGGUUCUGUAUGUAGGCAGAGGGGAGAAGGGUUCUGUAUGUAGGCUGAGGGCAGAAGGGUUCUGUAUGUAGGCUGAGGGGAGAAGGGUUCUGUAUGUAGGCUGAGGGUUCUGUAGGCUGAGUGUUUGGCUACUGCAGAGUCAGAACAAAUUAAACCCCCAGAGAACCUGGAGGAAACAUUUGUUCAAGCAAACACAGAGGAGAUAGGGAAGAGGGAUGGAGGUGGAGAGGAAAAGCCACUGCAAACCAAGUGCUGCCUUAACACUGCUUCUGUAGGCUGAGAGUAGGAGGGUUCUGU